GUGCUGAGAUUUGAUGUCCCAUGCAUUCCUUUGGCGGCAUUUGUUCCUCUGACCUUUAUACUCGUUUGGCUCAUCGAGCGCUCUUGUAAAAAUGCAUGUGUUUUCUCACACACAAAUGCCAGGAACCACUUGAACUGCAUAUUUGAUUCCAGCUUUAAUGGGAGACAUUCCUAAUGGACAACAGUAAUACAGCCAAGCCAAAUUGGCCACGGUUUUAUGUUUACUAUGGCAGAAAGUAAGAACUUCAAAGCUCCUUUGUAAGACUUGAAAAGAAGACAAGUUUCUCCUUCAUAUCAUCAAGCUUAAUUACUGUCAAUAAGCAACAGUUGGCAAGAACAGCACAUCACAUGUUUCCAGUUCUGUCUUGGGAAAGGUCAACACAAUUUUUUAUAUAUAUUAUGCAGCCAUGUACUCUGAUCACAUAACACGUUUUAGAAAGCAUUAUGCAAUAUUAUGCUGCUGAUUAACAAUUGCACAAGAAGUUUUUCAUUAGCUUGAAUGUUUGUAUCCUGGGAAUGAUUAACUUUGUGACAUAACUCACAUAAAUAUGGAAGGCUCAGACAACUUCAGACUCAUGUUUCAGGACUAGCCAAACACUUUUCACUUGGUAGUGUACGUGAUUAAAAACUGUUUUCAGCUUCAGAGGUGAAAAUAGGGUAACCCAUUUCAGGAAAGAGCAGAGAUGAUUUAUUUUUAGGGGUCAAAGUGACACACAUGCUUUAAAAAAAUAAUAAUGUUGAAAACAGCAUUUCCUUCGUUCUGCAAAUGUUAUCAAUUUUCUCCAACAACUCAGAUUUUUAUUGUUCUACUGCCAAACUUAGAAGUAAAAGUGGCUCAUACAUAUUCAGUGUCAAUAAUCACUUUUUAUAUCGGGACAAGUACGUACAAGCAUUGGUCAAAACUGGUCAAAGGCUGUGUGUUUGUUACUAGAUCUGGCCCUUGAUAAUGUGAAAGAAAAGCAAAAACUUUUGAAUACACUGAAGAACAGACCCUGCAUGCUCAAAAGUAUCUGAUUUUUAAAAAGAGCAAUUUGGUUGUUCUCAAUCAUAAGCUGAGCAAGAUUAAUUCAUUAAAUAAAUUACUCCUGAUUGGAAAUGGUAAGUUUGCUGAACUUUUGCCAGAAACCAGCUGACAUUUGCUAAAGUAUUGUGUUGGAAUGAACAAUACUCCUCCCCCUUUACAUGCCAUAGUGUAAAAUCAGAUUUCGGAAAAGUGUCAACACUGUCAGAAAAGUUUCUAUACUAUCAACAUGUUCUGAUAUGAGUACAGUUCCUGAAUGGUGCAGCAAUAAAAUUUCUAGCGCAUUUGCAAAGCUAAUCAGGUUCUGGUAUGGUUUCAACUUGAAUGGGGGACUGUGUGUUGAGAGUCGGUUGGACUAAAUGAGCCUUGGGGUCCCUUCCAACUCUUUGAUUCUGUGAAGUAGAAAUACUUCUGGCACCACUACUGAAGUCUCAUGUAAAAUAUUUUUAUACUGCAGAGCAAGUAGCUUCAAAUUUCAUAUAAUAGCAACAUGGAAUAGAAGAUAACAGUGUUUGAAUCUUGGGAAAAUACUGUAUCUAGAUUGUGCUGGUUAGCACAAUCUGUUAGCAGAGGAGGAAGCUACAUGCUUCUUAGCUGAUCACCCAAUUCGAUGGGCAUCCUUCACAUCUCUUCAGAAUACAGUACUGCUUUUAACCUAAAAGAGGUUGUUCUAUACACUUUCCAGCCCUGUGUUUGUCUGGUCUGGAAAAUGGUCUGCUGCAGCAACUCUCACUAGAAUGAGUAAUACAUAGUCAUGUGGGUUGUCCAUCGGAAUUAGUGCAGCCGUUUGUGAAAAGGUAAACGACUUGAGUAAGAGCUGCAGGAUCUGACCUCCAUAUUCUGCUGGGAGAGGCGGUUUAGGAAUGUUACCAUAUUACCUCAUGUGUUCCAUUCCGCAGGAUCAGCUCAGCCAAAAGCAAAUAAAAAGCUAAACAUUGACUUGGAGUGUGUUCUCGGGAACUUGAGCAAUGUCUUUUCCUCCAUUCCAGUGUAGUAACAGCAGCGAGUGGAAAGGAAGGAGAUUCUGUUACCGCAAUCGUAUCAGUGCUCCUUAUUUGCCUUGAAUCUACGUGCGGAGCCAGCUAGGCUUUCAGCUGCGAUGACGAAAUGUCAUGCCUUUCUUCCUGGAAUAGUAUGCAGAUAAGAGGCCACUGGCUAUGUUGAGGUUUCAGAUGAACUCCUCUCAGGGUUUCAAAACAGCGUGUCACAAUUUGAUCAGGUUUCUUUAGCAACCGGUUCAUUACGUUUUGUCUUCAGGACAAAAGGAGAGGAGAGAAGGAGCAGUUUGUGUGCUCAUUCCUUUGUGGUUUUGCGGUUGUCGGCUCGCAGGAUGUGACUGUGGAGACUUUAAACAUUUACAUAAUCUCAACACUGAAUUACCGGCUCUUGGGAAUCACAAGUGAAGAGAGUGCUGUUGUGUUCAGGUACCGCUUAUGGGCUUCUGUUGUUGUUGUUGUUUAGUCAUUGAGUCGUGUCCGACUCUUCGUGACCCCAUGGACCAGAGCACACCAGGCACUCCUGUCUUCCACUGCCUCCCGCAGUUUAUAGUCAAACUCAUGCUGGUAGCUUCGAGAACACUAUCCAACCAUCUCGUCCUCUGUCGUCCCCUUUUCCUUGUGCCCUCCAUCUUUCCCAACAUCAGGGUCUUUUCCAGGGAGUCUUCUCUUCUCAUGAGGUGGCCAAAGUAUUGGAGCCUCAGCUUCAGGAUCUGUCCUUCCAGUGAGCACUCAGGGCUGAUUUUCUUAAGAAUGGAUAGGUUUGAUCUUCUUGCAGUCCAUGGGACUCUCAAGAGUCUCCUCCAGCACCAUAAUUCAAAAGCAUCAAUUCUUCGGCGAUCAGCCUUCUUGAUGGUCCAGCUCUCACUUCCAUACAUCACUACUGGGAAAAUACAUCUCUACUGGGCUUCUGGCUGGCCGUUAUUAGAAGAGGGUGCUUCUAAUAUAAUGGAUAUUUGGCCCGAUGCAACAGGUCUCUUACGUUCACAGUGUUGUUGCAAUAAUCCAACAAUUCUGUUUCUGUCCAUUGAAUCCAUAUUGAAAUAACACCCCUAUUGUAUGAUAAUUGUUAAAAAGAAGUGGAUUUUGCAUUUGAG
rnacentral:lncRNA from 1 species